GGCCCUGGAAACUGCAUUUUAAGAAACCCUCUGGGGGAUUCAGAAUAUUCUUUGGGCUUGGCCAUCUGCUUUGCCCUGGCAGUGCCACCCCCUCUAACGCCCUCUCCAUCUGCUCCAGUCCUGCUCCUCUGUUGUCUGGAACGCACUGCAGCCUGGAGGAAGAAGUUCUCAAAUUCUGCGUGGGCUUUCUCCACUGUCUCCAAACUUCCAUCCUUGGGGGUCAGUGAUUGCAGGCACCGCCUUCCUUCCUGCUCCAUCCAGUCGCUGACCUGGGGCAGGAGAGGCAGAUUUGGACAUGAGGGGCUGCUAGGAGACCUCCCUUGUCCAGCUCCCCCACUUCCUUGCAGGCUGAGGUCUUCUGUCUUCACUCAUUCAGUGGCUAGGCCUGUGACCACUGGCUUGGACUGAAAUUCUCCCAAUUCUGGGCGUGGGAAGAAAUGACUUGGGGAGGGGGAGUGUGUGGUCAUGUUCUUCAAAGCGGGACCCUGGAGGGCAUCUGGCCUGGCCAACGCCCUCAGUGCACAGUUAUCUGAAUGAAGGCACAGGGUGGUGAACUUCAGGCUACUCUAACCACUCAGAGACGCCGGAUCAUAAAAGGGGUGGCCUCAGGGGUGAUGAGCUCCCUGUUCGGGUGUGUGUGUGUGUUUGUGUGCGCGUGCACAUGCAAACAGUGCUGGAGAAGAAGCUGCAGGCUGCAGAGGAAAGUCCAUGGGCCUGCUGGGAACUCACCAUGUGAACAUGAUCCAAUGUAGCACGUACUGAUAUUACCCCCCAUUCAACAAAUGAAGAUACUGAAGCACUGAAGAGUUAAACAUCUUGUCCAGGGCCACACCACGAGUAAGUGCUGGAGCCAGGAAUGAACCAGGGCUGUCUGAUGCAGGAGUGUGCCGUGCCCCACAGCUCCAGGCUGACAGGAAUGUGUUGGUUCUCGGCACCGGCAGUCAGAUGAAGCCACACCAGGUGCAGGUUCCAGAAUCAGACCCCGAGAUAUGCAACCACAAGCAGGUAACAUAAUGUCUCCCAGCCUCAGUUUCCUCAUCUGUGCAGUGGAUGAAAUCCUAGCACCUUCCCCAUGAGUUCAGAAAGCAAUGAUGUUCACAACGGCUCUGGCCCAGGGCUUGGCACAGAGUUGGCGCUCAAUAAGUGCAGCUCUUGGGGCUAUGUUUUCACCCACUGAGCACUUAUUGAGCACCAGGUCAUGUGCUACGCCCCAAGGAUGCCUGCCUGGCCUUUGAAGGAUCGCCAGCUUGGUGUCCUUUCUCCAGAACAAAGCACCUGACUAGGGACGGGCCCAGAGUCGGGGCUUUCCUGUGGAAUGUGGCCAGGCAGAACCCCCACACCCCAAGCCAGACACCCCUUUCACCUGGUGAAUGGCAGCUUCCAGGCGGCCCAGGCGGACACGGAGCUCCAGCUUCCCCAGGAGGCUGUUGGAAGCGGUGACCAGAACAUGAAGCUGCUCGUCCACAAGGCUGUACAAGGCAGUGGCUGCAGCCAGAUGGCUCCUGGGAGGUGGGCGGAGGCAUGGUGAUAUUUGUGUGAAGGGAGGAAUCUCCAACCCUGCUCUGCCCUCCUCUGCCUUCAGAGGGAAAAUGGAAGAGAGAAGAUGGAAGAAAAGCUUUUGACUUCCUGGAGGGUGCUUUGCUCUACCUCAGCCUCCCCAUCUGACUGCAGCUCCCCACGGGUUGCCACCCUUGCAGGGAAGAGGUGUGGCCCAGGGUGCGUGAAUAGGAUAGAAAAUCUCUGCCUGCCUGGAGAGGGAGGGACGGAGGGACGGGGACAGCCUAGGGGCUGCAGGGACCCGCUGCAGAACAAACGCCCACAGCAGCUCAUGUGGGACCACAGUGACCCCUGCUGGAGAUGCUGGUAGCUGCGGGUCUGCGGGGCCUCGGAUGGACAGGAGGGGCCUGGGCUGGUGGGGCAGGUAAGGGUGGAAGAGGCUGAGAAAGGCAGUGCCAACCCCCACCAGGCACUGAGGGGCAGGGAGAUGACCCCAUACCAGUGCUGCCCGUGCGUCCAUCUGUGUAAGCCUGCUCUCAAGUCUAGUGCAGCUCUGGGUGGUGUGUUCAAGAUUCUGGGACCAGACUGCCUGGAUUCAAGUCCGGGCCCCACCACAUCCCAGCUAUGUGACCCUGGACUAAUCACUUACCUUCUCUGAGCCUCAGGUUCCUCCACUGUAAAAUAGGCAUAAUAUCUGCAGCUACCUCGGAGUGAAUUAAGUGAGCUGGUAUUUGUAAAUCCCUGAGAAAAAUGCUGGACACAUACAAAGUGCUAUUUAGGUCUUGGUUCUGUAAACAAAAUGUUCUUAAAAGCUCAUGCAUACCAGCCCUUGACUUUGAAUAUAAGUAGCUGUGUUCUAAGAGGGUGAAAAUACUUGCAAUUACUGACCAAUUUAAUGACUGACUUUUCCCCACCCCCUAAAUUUAAGAAAGCUGGGACUUUCCAGGAAUGUCUAUAAUUUAUUCUGGCUCUGAGACCCCUGAGACACCAUGAGGUUCUCACAAGUGUGUCUGAGCAGCCUACCGGGAAAGGCAGGGCCGGGUAGGGGUUAAAUGCCCAGAAGGCCU
rnacentral:lncRNA from 10 species